rnacentral:rRNA from 1 species
UUACCCGCUGAACUUAAGCAUAUCAAUAAGCGGAGGAAAAGAAAAUAACCAUGAUUGCCCUAGUAACGGCGAGUGAAGAGGCAAAAGCUCAAGUUUGGAAGCUCAAUGGUUUAACCAUUGCGCAUUGUAAACUGAAAACAGGAUCAAUCAGGUACACCGGGUGAUAAGUUCCUUGGAAUAGGACAUCAUGGAGGGUGAGAAUCCCGUCUUUGACCCGAGUCUAGUAUCUUUUGUAUUGGCCUGUUCAAGAGUCAGGUUGUUUGGGAAUGCAGCCUAAAGCUGGAGGUAAAUCCCUCCUGAAGCUAAAUAAUGGCGAGAGACCGAUAGCGAACAAGUACCGUGAGGGAAAGAUGAAAAGAACUCUGAAGAGAGAGUUAAACAGUACGUGAAAUUGCUUAAAGGGAAGCAUAUAAAGCUAGGAUGCGAUUGUUUUCUUCAGGUUGAGCUUUGGCUUGACUGUUCAGAAGGAUAAUCCAAGACAACAAGAAUUGGAGGAGGAGAAUAAGCCAUUGGGGAAGGUAAAUCUCCGGGAUGUUUAUAGACCUGAUGGUUCGCGCUCUUCUUUCGAUUGAGGUACGC